GGUGGCCCGCCGACAGUGAAGCUUCUUGUACUCCCGCUUUUAGAUAAUCGUUUAUCAUGUUUGGAGGUCAUUCGCUGAGAUGUGCAGUGGACUCACCUGAGAGCCAGGUUAUCUGAGUUGCCAGAAAAGUGCACCUGAUGGGCUGCAUAAACCCAGGCACGUCUUUCCUUUACUUGCAGAGGUGAACCAGAUUGAAAGGACUCUGUGUGAUGGUGGAUGUGCAACCUGCCUCCAUGUACCUGCCCACCUUUUGGAAAUCUAAAAAUGUAGUCUGUUAAAGCUAAAGUUCACACUUUCUUUCUCAAGCUCCUGGAAGCCUCAAACCUCAACUCAAACCAUGGCAUGGAUGGAGGAUUCUAUUCUUCUCUUUGAAGGAAAACAUGUAUUUAUGAAGGAUAAACAUCACUGAUUAUAAAAAAAUAGAGCUCUCCAGAAGAUGUGCUCUUAUGAGCAUUAAUGAAGUUCUUGGCCAGACAGAGAUAAUUCUUUGAGUAAAUUUUUUUUUCUCAGAAAGAGUUGGAGGAGCAUUUUCUGUUUGGCAAUGAAACACAGAUCCACGAAGACAGUAGAAGAUAGUGGCAGUGGGCUAAGAUUCCUGGACUGCUGGUGCAAUUUUGUGAGGUGCUGACUGUGGACACAGGCUUUCUGGGGGACAUGGAAGGAGGAUGCCCUGGACACAGUUAUUGGUCCUGGGAUUUCAGAAGUUAUUUGGGGUGGCUGUCUCUGUGUCUGAUUUUUUCUGUCUAGAAAACUCACACCCUUAGAGGCUGUAGGAAAGCUGCAGGAAUCUGAGGGAUCUUCUUGGACUUGGCUGAGCUGCAGCCCAAGCAUGAAGUCAAUACUGACCCUGAUAUGAUGUGUUGAAGGGGAUCUUCUGGACCUUGUUUUUCCUCUGGGGUAAAAGCCAGUGAAACCAUCUCUGAACCCUAGUUCUCAAAUGAAUUUUGAGAUGAGCCUGUUCCCCCUCGGCAGAAAUUGAGGUGUCUUCUGUCCAGUGCUGUCUGUCAACUCUUGCCUACAUUAGAAUCUGAAAGACCCUCAGAAAUUAGAGUACAAAGCGAAAUGAUUGGUGGCAAGCUCAGUAAAGUUCACAUACACGUAGCGAUUUUUUUUUUUUUGAUUCAGUAGAUUCCACAUACUAUCCCCAGGAAUCUCACAAUUACCCUGAGGGUUAUACUCCUAAGAGCCAUCUCACAGAGGAACGUGAGACCUAGGAGACUGACACAUUUGGUGGAAGACGUUAACCAGAAAUCUGUGUCCAAAACUAAUUGGAAGUCCUUCCACUCCAUCCUACAGGAUCACAUUUUGGACAACAGCCAUGGACCGUGUCCAUUUAUUCAUUCACUUCCUUGGUUUUUUGGGGGCAGUGGGGUUGUUUGUGGCUGGCAACCUCCUGGGAACUUUCUGGGUGUAAUCUGAAAUUGGCUCCCUACACAGAGGGCAGAGAGAGGUGGAGGAAAGAGGCAGGCCACUCCAGAUUGGUAGGAGGCAGGUUUAAUAAGCAAGGGAACCUGCUGAUGACAUCUUUCUUGAGUGGCAAUAAGAUGAGUACAUCUCUGCACCUGCCUACCUGAUCCUUACGUUUAUAUAGAGGCCUUACUGGAGUUCAGUCACAUAUCCAAUGCAUAUAGCCUCAACACCACAUUUCUAUCUCAAAGCUAUAUGCUUGGAGCAGCUUCUGGGAGUGAGGAAGAUAAGGGGGGCACAUCCCAAGGACAGGAGAGGUAGUGGAGAACCUCCAAUUACCAGGGACCAGCUCGCAUAUCUUCUUGAUGACUUCUUCUAACAAUGGGCAGAACAGGAAAUCUGCAAUGCAUGCCAGGCUCCCUUCCUAUGGAGCGCCCCUGGUGUGAGCUUCGCUGGAAAGACUCGUAUUAGCAACUUCUGUCCUCUGAGACCAUGGACAAAGGAACACAUGGUGAGAUGACAGGUAAUCCUUAGAAAGCUCAGGGAUAAACAAGUCAAAACCAACUUGUCAAUGAUCCCCCUUUUCCCCUUCUACCUGUCUCUACCUUGAUUCUGAAAGACAAUAAAAGAAUAAGGGACUCAGACUCAACUCUGUCUCCUCUUUCUGGAGAAAGUGUAGAAAUGGUAGUCAUGACUUUCUACAUCGGAUUACUAGCACUUUGCAUUCCUUACCUGUUGUUCAUUUAUAAGGGCAUAACAGUAUUUUCUUAUAAUAUUUCUUCUUCGGAAAACUCAAAGAAUUUCUUCCUCUACAAGGUCUUCAAUUGAUGUUUCACUCAGUAUUCCUCUGCGUAAGAAGGACACAGCAUUGCAAUCCUACAGGACAGAGCUGGGACUCCUGCCUCUGAUCAGUGGCUCUCAGGGGCUCCACACUGCUCUCUACAUCAACGUGAACACAAAGGAUUGGCUACCCCACAUGGGAUGGGAAGGGGACAGAUGAUCAAGGGUUGGACACUUUUGCUCCCCGCAAGUAUCUGGAACCCUCUGGAUAAUCAAAUUCAGGGACACUGAAUCACUGUGUUUGAAAUUAUACCAUGGAGCCAUCUGCCACAUGCACAAAGAUUUGUCUUUUCUCCUGGAAUGGUGAUGUUCGAACCCAUUCUGAGAGUGCCUGUCUCUUUGCCAGUAUAACUGCUUUGGAGAAGUGGGAAGAGGAAAGAAGAACCAGAGUCCAGUUGCUCUGUGGUCUGGGCCAAGCCUUCCCUCACCUGAUUAUUGUCACCAAUUUCCCAAGUGUUGAUGAAGAUGGUUUUCUCUUUAGAAGGUGGAAAAUUACAAACAGAAACUGCAUGCCACACAACCAGACAAGAAGUCAAAUGGAAUUUCAAAAGGAGAGACACUUCUUUAUUAUCCGAAGAUCCCCGAGGCCUGGGGCAAGGGGCAUUUGGAUGUGAAUCUCAGAUGCACGUCACAGAGUUAUGACAUAGUCGUACAGGGUUUCUGAGGGCAGUAAAGGUGCAGAAAGGGAAAGAUGGUCACUCAGUCUCUCCCUGACCCUAAGAGAUACCUCUACCCAUCCUGGACCUAUGGCAUCACCGUUCGCAUCUCUCAUCAUUCCUGUUUUCCAGUUCCCUUGUUUCUUUGUAUGUUUUUACCUGGUACAACUUCUAUUCAUUCCCAUGUAACUCAACGUGUGUUACAUUAAUGAGUCUGUUGCUGCUGUUGGAAAUCAAAGCUCUGUGUAGAGCAAGCCUCAGAAUUGUCCCUCAAGAGGAGUAAAAAACUGCUUUGCUUGCCUACCA